rnacentral:rRNA from 1 species
GACGAACGCUGGCGGCGUGCUUAACACAUGCAAGUCGAGCGGAAAGGCCCUGCUUUUGUGGGGUGCUCGAGUGGCGAACGGGUGAGUAACACGUGAGUAACCUGCCCUUGACUUUCGGGUAACUUCAGGGAACUGGGGCUAAUACCGGAUAGGAGAUCCUGCUGCGUGGUGGGGGUUGGAAAGUUUCGGCGGUGGGGGAUGGACUCGCGGCUUAUCAGCUUGUUGGUGGGGUAGUGGCUUACAAAGGGUUUGACGGGUAGCCGGCCUGAGAGGGUGACCGGCCACAUUGGGACUGAGAUACGGCCCAGUCUCCUACGGGAGGCAGCAGUGGGGAAUAUUGCACAAUGGGCGGAAGCCUGAUGCAGCAACGCCGCGUGCGGGAUGCCGGCCUUCGGGUUGUAAACCGCUUUCGCCUGUGAUGAAGCGUGAGUGACGGUAAUGGGUAAAGAAGCACCGGCUAACUACGUG